AUACGGAGGGUGCAAGCGUUAAUCGGAAUUACUGGGCGUAAAGCGCGCGUAGGCGGCUGAUUAAGUCGGAUGUGAAAUCCCUGGGCUCAACCUAGGAACUGCAUCCGAUACUGGUCAGCUCGAGUUUUGGAGAGGUAAGUGGAAUUUCCGGUGUAGCGGUGAAAUGCAUAGAGAUCGGAAGGAACACCAGUGGCGAAGGCGACUUACUGGCCAAAAACUGACGCUGAGGUGCGAAAGCGUGGGUAGCGAACAGGAUUAGAAACCCUAGUAGUCC
rnacentral:rRNA from 1 species